AUACGGAGUGUGCAAGCGUUAUCCGGAAUCAUUGGGUUUAAAGGGUCCGUAGGCGGAUUAUUAAGCCAGAGGUGAAAUCCCACAGCUUAACUGUGGAACUGCCUUUGAUACUGGUAGUCUUGAGUUAUAUGGAAGUAGAUAGAAUGUGUAGUGUAGCGGUGAAAUGCAUAGAUAUUACACAGAAUACCGAUUGCGAAGGCAGUCUACUACGUAUGUACUGACGCUAAUGGACGAAAGCGUGGGGAGCGAACAGGAUUAGAAACCCGGGUAGUCC
rnacentral:rRNA from 1 species